UCUACGUGCCCUUCUCCGCAUACCUCCUUUAUUUGUGUCCUAGCCUCACUCAAAAUAUGUUCUUCCACGAGGAACACCAUUUCCGUCUUCUCCUUCCACCUGCGACAACGACGAAGACAAGCUCCUCCAGAGCGGUAGCGAGAUGUCAACACUCCCAUUUCCUCAACCUCAGUUUAUGUCCAUGAAGUCAAAUCCUUGACUAUUUGUACAUUAUCAAGAAGCUAUUUCCAUAUAUAAAAGGAUUGAGAAGCUGCAAACAGAACUAUUUCAUCCUUUAUCAAUCAACUUGAUGCAUACUAGGGACAAGAUUUUGAAGGUACGUGAGUGAGUACUAUAUGGACUUGGUUUCACCUCUUUGUUCAAAGGUUAUGAGCCAAGUGAGCAGAGAAACUUGUAAAUUUGUGGACCAAAGUUAUUUGUCCUCAAUCCCAAUGCUUCUCAAGUUUGUCUUGUUCAUUAAAAUUCUUGCCUUAUAUCAUGGCAUGACAAGAAGCAAAUGAGAGCAUAGAUGUGUGUGAAGAUUACAAGGUUACAAACUACUUAAACCAGAGAGAUGUACAAGAGGAACUUCAUGCAAAGCUCUUGGCGUUUGUAAGUGGGAUGUUUGCAACAAGUAAUUCCUUCAUAAAUGCCUUGUAGUUUGCCUUUUCUAAGUUAGUCUUGAAAAAUGAAAAUUAAAAUAUCAAAGUCAUAAUUAGCUUAGCUUGUCUAUGCUGAUUGUAGUUUAACUAAACAAUGUUAUCACUGACCUGCAUUGUUGGUAACAACAUACUGGAUUAUGAUAUGCUCAACCUGGAAGUGCCUACAUUACUUGUUGUUGGAUCACUGAUAAAAGCUGGAGUUAAGGUCUUAAUUUACACGUAACUCUAA